GACGAACGCUGGCGGCGUGCUUAACACAUGCAAGUCGAGCGAUGAAGUUCCUUCGGGAAUGGAUUAGCGGCGGACGGGUGAGUAACACGUGAAGAAUUUGUCCAUCGGUGGGGGAUAGCCGGCCCAACGGCCGGGUAAUACCGCGUACGACCCUCGUGGGACAUCCCACUUUGGUGAAAGUCGCAAGACGCCGAUGGAGAACUUCGCGGCCUAUCAGCUAGUUGGUAGGGUCAUGGCCUACCAAGGCGACGACGGGUAGCUGGUCCGGGAGGAUGACCAGACACAUUGGGACUGAGACACGGCCCAGACUCCUACGGGAGGCAGCAGUGGGGAAUAUUGCGCAAUGGGCGACAGCCUGACGCAGCGACGCCGCGUGUGGGAUGACGGCCUUCGGGUUGUAAACCACUGUCGGGAGGGACGAAGCUCUGACGGUACCUCCAAAGGAAGCACCGGCUAACUCUGUGCCAGCCGCCGCGGUAAAAC
rnacentral:rRNA from 1 species